rnacentral:rRNA from 1 species
CGGAUUCACUGGGCGUAAAGGGUGCGUAGGCGGAGACUUAAGUCUGUGGGGAAAUCCCCGGGCUCAACCUGGGAACUGCAUUUGUGACUGCACGGCUCGAGUGCGGCAGAGGGGGAUGGAAUUCCGCGUGUAGCAGUGAAAUGCGUAGAUAUGCGGAGGAACACCGAUGGCGAAGGCAAUCCCCUGGGCCUGCACUGACGCUCAUGCACGAAAGCGUGGGGAGCAAACAGG